ACGGUAUGCGGGUGGCGAGGCCACUGGCGUCGUCCGCACCGGCUCCUUCCCCAGGAGGAACGAGGGACGCUCUCUCUUUGCCUGUUUCGACUCCAGAGAAACAUCUGGAAGGUUUGGAUACUUUCAAACAAUACCUUUGUUCCUUUGAGGGACAAAGGGACACUUUUUUGGAGAGUGAGGAAAAUGUAAUUCUUUGUCCAGAGUGAAAAAAGAAGUCGCACAAACGAGCUAAACGUUUUUGUCGUUUGUAACGUGUCUGAGACCCUUUGUGGCUACUUUUUUUCCAGCCCAGUAUCAUCUUCAGGAUCACACACUGCAUUUUAGCUGUCAGGGUUGUAAUGAUAUGGAAGAAAAGUGUUAUUUUCAGUAAAGAAAGGUAUAAGCUAGAGACGAUGGCAUAAACGUUGCUUUCACCUAAAGACUUGGAAUCCACAAAUGAUUUCCAUCCGUUGGCAGACAAAAUUAAAAAAAAAAAAUCAACCUAAGAAAUCUUGCCUGGCUAACACUGGGGAGCAGAGGGGUGCAAGGUCUGCUCCCCAAUAUCGACUGAGUCUCAUUUAGACGGCAGCACCUGGUUCUGCCACUGACCCUCAGUGUUAGAUGCUAUUUUUGUGUUAAAAGGCAGAGUUCUGGCAUGGUCUGUGCGCAUGAAUUUAAUCGCACGUUUUGCCCUAGCUAUGAAGGAAUGAAAACUUGCCAGCUAAGUUCAAGCUGCGGGCCACCAGGUUUCAAAGGGAUUGGCCUGUCUUCCCAUAACUGAAUAAUGAUUCUCUGUCCAGAGCGACAUCUGUCAUCCCAACCUCCAAGCCCUUUGUGGGUGGCUUCAUCCCUGAGGCUCUGUGGGUGCAGACAUGUGUCAAGAGAGGUGACGAUGAGUUUGGCCAGGACCAGAUUUAGAUGCGCUGCGUUCCCCGAGACUCGCUAAGGACCACAGGCAAAAUGAAGCAAAAUGUCCAAGGCGUUUCAUGGGUGACUGGAAGACAUUAGGAGUUAACUAAACCUGGCAGAGGUCACGCCUGAUUUUGCAACAUGCCGUGUUGCAGGAGAGGAACAUGAUGCUCACAGUGUGCACGACGUUUGCCCAGGGCGCCCCGGCUGCUAAGGCGCAGAGCCAGGCUGUUCCAGAGAUCACCACCUUAGAGGUCACCAGCUCAGAGAGCACCAGAGCAGGACCCGGUCACGGAUGGCUGCCGGGCGCCGCGUGGACAGAACUCAGUCACAGCAGGCGCUCUCGGGCGGCCGGCGAGCGGCUCUGAUCUUCCAGGCGCUGCGCUGCUUUGGUCCGUUGUUGAUUAAAAGCUGACAGUUUCCCAGAAGACACUCCCUUGAGUGUAUGUUUCUGUAAAAAGCACCCAGUUUCCUGUUGAGUCAGGACAGGGGGUUGGCGUCGGGUGAUCUGAGUUUGCAUGCUCGUUUUCUAUCAGGAAACGAGUACAUUGACACCUUUUCCUCUCGACUCUUUAAGGAUCCAUGAAGUGGCAGGUGCAAGG